AGCUCAACUCCAGAACUGCCUUUGAUACUGAGGAUCUUGAGUUCGGGAGAGGUGAGUGGAACUGCGAGUGUAGAGGUGAAAUUCGUAGAUAUUCGCAAGAACACCAGUGGCGAAGGCGGCUCACUGGCCCGAUACUGACGCUGAGGCACGAAAGCGUGGGGAGCAAACAGGAUUAGAUACCCUGGUAGUCCACGCCGUAGACGAUGAAUGCCAGCCGUUAGUGGGUUUACUCACUAGUGGCGCAGCUAGACGCUUUAAGCAUUCCGCCUGGGGAGUACGGUCGCAAGAUUAAAACUCAGAAGGAAUGUGACGGGGGCCCGCACAAGCGGUGGAGCAUGUGGUUUAAUUCGACGCGACGCGCAGAACCUUACC
rnacentral:rRNA from 1 species